GAUGAACGCUGGCGGCGUGCCUAAUACAUGCAAGUCGAGCGAACAGACGCCGAGCUUGCUCCUCUGACGUUAGCGGCGGACGGGUGAGUAACACGUGGAUAACCUCCCUAUAAGACUGGGAUAACUUCGGGAAACCGGAACUAAUACCGGAUAAUAUAUUGAACCGCAUGGUUCAAUAGUGUAAGACGGUUUUGCUGUCACUUAUGGAUGGAUCCGCGCCGUAUUAGCUAGUUGGUAAGGUAACGGCUUACCAAGGCGACGAUGCGUAGCCGACCUGAGAGGGUGAUCGGCCACCCUGGAACUGAGACACGGUCACGAAGCCUCCGGGAGGAAGCAGUAGGGAAUCUUCCGGAAUGGGGGAAAGCCGGACGGAGCAACGACGCGUGAGUGAUGAAGGUCUCCGGCGCGUAAAACUCUGCUAUCAGGGAAGAACAAAUGUGGAAGUAACUAUGCACGUCUUGACGGUACCUAAUCAGAAAGCCACGGCUAACUACGUG
rnacentral:rRNA from 1 species